UACAGAGACUGCAAGCGUUAUUCGGAUUCACUGGGCGUAAAGGGUGCGCAGGCGGCCAAGUGUGUGAGGCGUGAAAGCCCGGGGCUUAACCCCGGAAUUGCACCUCAAACUACUCGGCUAGAGCAUUGGAGAGGGUAGCAGAAUUCAUGGUGUAGCAGUGAAAUGCGUAGAUAUCAUGAGGAAUACCAGAGGCGAACGCGGCUACCUGGACAAUUGCUGACGCUCAGGCACGAAAGCGUGGGGAGCAAAAGGG
rnacentral:rRNA from 1 species